CUGUGCUUCUUCUUUUAUUUUGAGAUUAAGAUGUGUCCUUGUUCUUGCAGGAGUACCUCCAUUUCUUCUGUAACCCUCCACUCUGCCACAGAGACAUCAAGUCGAGCAACAUUCUUUUGGACGAAAACUUUGUUGCCAAGGUUGCUGAUUUCGGCCUUGCGCACGCAUCGAGAACUGGUGCUAUCAGCUUUGAAGCUGUCAACAAAGAUGUACGCGGAACUCCAGGUUUGAAUUUCGCCUGUAGACCUGAACUGUUUGGAAGUUAGUUUGUGUCUCCCACUAUGGAUAGCAGAAGGUCACUGAGUGAGUAAGUGGAGCAAGUACUAUCAAACAUAGACAAGAACUCGUGCAGAAAUGCAGUAUAGUUUUUCCUUUUUCUCAUUUUCUUAGUGGAAGAAA